UAGGUCCCUUCUUGGAAGUAA
rnacentral:piRNA from 1 species